CUUUCGAGCUUCAUAUCUGGACAAAAUUUUUCAACAAUAACAGUAAGUGAUCUUUUCUAUUCACAUAAGAAGUGCGGUUGAGCUUUUGAAAAACUUUUAUUUGAUUUUGAAAGUUGAAGGAGCGGUCUGACCACAGAUUGUGAUAUCCUAUAUAUUUCAGUGGCAGGACUCUCUGCUUGGCAAGUUGAGUUUGUACUUAAUGGUUUAGUAUCCUGACAAUCAAAAUACACAAUUUAAAUCAGAUCAACAUUCAACACACGUAUCGAACUCUCAAAGACUGAGACAUUUUGGUCGAGACUUGUUUUUUGCUAGUUUUUUCUUGUUGAAAAAAGUGAAUUAUGCUCUUACCUGAACAUUAUACGAUACGAAAUAUACAGGGAAUGUCAAUUCUGAACAACUUCUGAGCUUUUCUGCUGCAAAAACGACACAACUGGAGUAUAGAACAUCGUGUAGAACAACUUUAUGAUCUCUUUUUGACUUGUCAACACAAGUUUCGAACUUCACUCCUUCGAGUAGAAUUUUCCCUUUUCGCAGCGUUCAAGUAGUGUUUGCAGCCCCAUUUGUUGUUAAAAAUGUCCAGUCUAGCCCAUUUUCUUGAAAUUAAAACGAAACAGCAUGUCACCUGGAUAGUUUCGUUAAAAUCGCUGUUUUUAUGACAAAAAUUCGGAUUUCCCCAUCUAUUUCCUUAUCAAAAAAUUUCACGGUACUGGCUGGGAAGUUACGCAUGCGCAGUAUGGCCGAUUGUGCGUGUGACUUGUUUUGGCUUGAGUGAACUCUCUGUAUAUACUUCCUCUGUGACGGUGUGUAGUCAUAAACAUAUGAUUCCUAAUAUAGGACAAGAAAUUUUAACUUUUGUGCUUAUUCCUAGGAGUAAGGGGGACUAAUGAAUGUAGUGGUUAUCGCCCUGCAGUGCUUCCGGUUAUAUUAUUCUCAAAUUUCAAGACUUCAAGUAUCUUAUAUUAUCGAGUAACCCGAAUAUCAUUAUAAUAUCAUUAGACUCUUAUUCCCUUUAACUCGUUUAUACUAACUUAGCUGAAAGCAGCAAGUGACCCAAAAGAAUAAUUGUGCAACUAGUGUAAACAUUUAAAAAUUGCAGCAAGCAACACAAAAUGGAUUAAACAUUCAAAAAUUUUAGUACUUUUUGCUCCUAGGAAUAAGAGAAAAAAAUGAAAAGCGUUGUCCUAUUUCAGGCAUGGUAUAGUCAUGAAAGGUGGGCUUUCCUGCAGGCCCUUAAUCCUCCCCCGGAGCCCACCAAAAUCCUGCCCACUGCAAAUUCGCUAUAUAUGAUGCCAUAUUGGUUGCAUUAACUUGCAAAGGCUUCCUUUAUUUAGCUCUUCCCAUCACUCCUUGCACGCUCACUUUUCCCUCUCUAAAAACUUCAUGUAAGCCUCUGUGGAGGAGAGAGGGGAAAAACGACAAAAAAUAAGGCUNNNNNNNNNNNNNNNNNNNNCGAGUAACCCGAAUAUCAUUAUAAUAUCAUUAGACUCUUAUUCCCUUUAACUCGUUUAUACUAACUUAGCUGAAAGCAGCAAGUGACCCAAAAGAAUAAUUGUGCAACUAGUGUAAACAUUUAAAAAUUGCAGCAAGCAACACAAAAUGGAUUAAACAUUCAAAAACUUUAGUACUUUUUGCUCCUAGGAAUAAGAGAAAAAAAUGAAAAGCGUUGUCCUAUUUCAGGCAUGGUAUAGUCAUGAAAGGUGGGCUUUCCUGCAGGCCCUUAAUCCUCCCCCGGAGCCUGCCAAAUUUUCAUCCCUUUUCUUGUAUAUGUCCGGAAAAAUUUUUCUACCCCUAAAAUGGUACACUGACCGAAAUUUUUUUUUUGGGGGGGGGGGGGGGAGGUNNNNNNNNNNNNNNNNNNNNUUUUUGGAAAAUUUAGGUAUAAGGGGAAUAAUUUGGAAUAUUUUGUUUAAAAAAUCGUGUAUGUCCGGAAAAUUUUUUGUUAUAGGUCCGGAAAAAUUUUUUCAUCCCUUUUGUUAUAGGUCCGGAAAAAUUUUCCUACCCCUAAAAUGGUAGACUGAUCGAAAUUUUUUUGGCGACGGGGGGGGGUCACGAAAAAAAUUUAGCCCCCCCAAACUGAAAUCUGUUCCGCCGCCCCUGUUUGUGUAGUUAUACUGUCAACUGGCACAAACUAAUCACUUGUUUUCGAGUGAUCUCACGCCAUUACACCAACACUUUCGUAACCUCAUGCCAGAUAUAUCCAGCGUGGAGUGCAUGGAAUGCACACUGGUACAGAAUAUAUAGAGAAUAUAUAAAAUAUAAAAAUACAUACAGAAUAAUAAUAAUAUAACAUAUAUAUUAGAAUAUAUACAGAAUCCAUAUAUAUAUUCUUGCAUUUAUUCUGUUUGACAAUUUUGUCAUUUUGUUUUUUCAAAUUUUGAAAUUUUUUACGCUCUCUCUCUCUACUUCGGAUAAAAAGGAUUAUACUAGCCUAUAUUCUUGCUUGCAUGAUAUUUAAAUUAUAAGUUGUGAAGUUUUGUGUAAUGAUGUUUUGUAACAGGUCACUAACGUAAUUGGCUCACGCUGUGUUAGUGUUCCUGAACCGUCUUCCUGUUUGCAUAUGUUUAUAUUUCUGUUGACAGCUGAAGUUAAUUAAUAAAUAAAUAAAUUAUCCAUGUGCAUGUCUUCUUCCAUUCCAUGGCUGAAGGCAUGAGAAAGUCUGGCAGCAUGCUGCCAGGAAUUUUUUUAAUCUCACAGGAAAUGUUUAAGAAAAAGCAAGAUAUCAAGAGUAAAGCUUGAGAAAUUUCAAAAAUCAGCAUUAAAGUAACGAACAUCACAAUUAGAGCAUAAAUACAAAAAUCAUGACAUAAACAUUUGUAUCAUAUGGCAGUGCUACGACUGUCUGUUAUCAUGAUUCAUGAUUAUUAGUCGAAAGUGAUCAUUUUGAUGAGAGAAGGAAAGUUUUAUGAGUUGGGGGCUCUUUAUAAAUUUUUAAAAAAAUUCCUGUGGUACCCUUUCUGUUGCACCCUUUGUCUGCUAUAUAUGUUGUCAGUUGAUAUCUGCAAAUAACUAGAUUAAAAUCUCUCAUUGUUUAGGUGUUUUGUUCCAAGAGAACUUGGAUCAGUGAUCAGUCAUCAAAGUUGAACCGGGUGAUAUGACAGGAAAAGAAAGAUUAUUUUCUACGAAGCAGAAUCAUUUACAGUUGCUGUCUUGAAUCUUGUAAUUUGUAAAGAAGGUUAGUUUAUAAAACGCCUUCCAGGCUUUACCAGAUUUAUUUGGAUGCUGGAAAAUCACAAAAAUUCUGUCCACAGCUGAUAUUUCUUGACAGGAUCUUAGCCAGGAUUUGCAACUUGGGUGUCCAAAUUUGAAAUUUCAUUUAUGGCACCCAAUUUUUUCCAUAUGGUACCAUGGCACCACUUCAUGCACCAGUAAUUCAGCAAUGUGAUUAUUCUUGAAUUCUGGGAGUAAUCGGUGACCACACUUGAGAAUCACCCAAAAAACUAAUAAUAUAUUCAAUUAUUCAGAUUAUGUCACUACUCACUAGUCCCUACACUGACUACAGUAGUACAGUUUAAGUAAAUCUGUGAAUAUAUUAAUUUUAUUAAUAUUAUGUUGUCACUUUCAUGCUAUAAAUACAGUACUUGUAGCUUUGAUAAGCUAGUGUAAGCAAAGAACACAACCAAAAAACAACAAAAAGCAACUGAUUAUCUCGUAUAGUUACAUUAUGCGGUUUUUAAUUUGGCAGCUAGGAAUCUUUCCGCUGCAGCUUGCAAGUGAGCAAUGUUUCUUUUCUAUGGUAUUUUAUUCUCAGCAGCUUGUCUAACCGAUCUAUGGUCAGUUGUGUUUUUAUGCGAUUCUGAAUGCUAAACACCCUUUCUGCUUCUGCAUUUCCAACCAUUACACACAUUCAAGCAAGUUGCCAUAGUUGAAAACUAGGCGAGUCGAUGGCCUUUUUUAGCUAGCCGUCCAAAAGGCGUCGCCAUGAUAGCGAACCGUCCAAAAGCCGUCUUCUUUAGAAGGCCGUUCAAAUUUGAAAAUGGCUGUCCAAAGACGGCUGGACGGUAGGCUGGCUAAGACCCUGUUUCUUGACAAAAUACCAUCAAACAAUAAUAUGAACAAAGGCGACUGAAAUUAUUCAAUUUGACUGAGCAAGAAAGACACACUCAAAAAAGUACCAAAGCCAAGCAAAGUAUGAAGAAACAAAAAUUUAAAAGGCUUGAAAAAAUCCUAUCCAUGGGUAAUGCUCGUGAACGAAAAGAUGUUUUGCAAAUGUGAGGUAGUAGAUUUUCUCGAUGGAUAUCAGAUUUUAAGUUGCUAUAGUAUCCUGUUGGAUACUGCUGAAAAAUUCAAAUUUGAAGUCCUGCUGAAUAAUAUGUUUUAUCCCUUGGGGGAAUUAAUCCAAUCUAAGCCAAUAAACGCAGAAGCCCUGUGUCCGUGAACAUUUUUUAUCAGUCGCACGUAAUUGUUUUGAUGAUAGAAAUGAUUAUAGACAAUGUUCAGAAAGUUUGGAUUAAUAAUUCCUGGCUUUUUUUAAUUUAAAAAAAUUCCUGUGGUCUCCCUUUGCUGAGCACAGGUUGCCACUUGCCUGUGGUUGCCCCUUUGCAAAAUGUUUUAAAACAUGUUUUUAUCACUUGAAAGUGAUUGUUGAAAUCUGUUUCAAUGUUAAACAUUAACAGAUUUUCAUAACAGGCUAAAAAACAGCAAAAAAGUGGGGCUAUAGCCUUCUUUUCGUCCAUUUUGACAAUUUUUUCUGCCAGAUAAUGCGAUGAAGUAUGGUUUUUGAACCAAACUAUAGUUUGACCUUUUUUAAUCUUGAAAUUGAUGGAAAUGUGAAAGAAAUUGAAUUAAUAAUCUGAGUAUCGAAGUUCAAUAGAGUCAUUUUUAUAAAGAAAUGUUGCAAUUAGGAGGAUAUUUAUAAUUAGAUAGCUCGUAUCCAUUGAUAUUUGUUUGCAAUUCCUCAAUAUUUUUCGAUGCAAAUGGACAGAAGAUAUUGAUAUUGAAUUCACCACAGGAUACUCAAGUACGCCUGAAAAUGAAAGUCUAAAAAAUGUUUUAACACCCUCUAGGGUGAUUGAACUUCGCUAUAUAUGAUGCCAUAUUGGUUGCAUUAACUUGCAAAGGCUUCCUUUAUUUAGCUCUUCCCAUCACUCCUUGCACGCUCACUUACGCUCACGUCAAGUAAGCCUCUGUGGAGGAGAGAGUGGGAAAAACGACAAAAAAAUAAGGCUAUUAUAGCCUUUACUUUUCAUCGAUUUUUUCAUUAAGGCCUGUGAUCCCCCCUUUGCAUUUGACUCAAAGUUUGGAAUGGCUUGGGGCAGUUUUGGGAAAAUUUCUAGUUGUCUCCCGGGCCCUUUGUUGAUCCUGGGGUUGCCUGUGUUCCCCUCCUUGCAUUUGACCCAAAUUUUUCGAAACAUGUUUUUAUGAGUCGGAAGUGAUCGUUUUGAUUAGAGAAAUGUUUCUCAACAAUUUUCAGAAAGUUUGGUGUGAGUUGGGCCUCUUGAAUUUUUCCUGUGAUCGCCAUUUGUUGACCGUAGGGUUGCCUAUGACCCCCCCCUUUGCAUUUGACCCAAAGUUUUUGAAACAAGUUUUUCUAAGUCGAAGGUGAUCGUUUUGAUGAGAGAAAGAAAGUUUUGUGAGUUGGGGGAUCUUUAUGAAUUUUUAAAAAAUUUCCUGUAGUACUCUCAUUUUUAACCCAUAGAAUCUCAUUGUGCCCAGAUGCUCUCUGCUUUACUCUGUCUAACGCCAGAAGAUUUUACUCGUCAAGGGGAGAGCGCUGGCGCUAAACGGUUAACUGGCCUAUCUGCCCAUGGGUGUAUAUAACCAUUGAAUCGCAUAGAAUAGAAGAAUAAUUUAUUUAAUGUUGAAUGACACAGAGUGUGGUUGCCCAAUCACUCGAGCCAGGGGCUCAUGAUAGAAGUACUCGAUGCGCCCGAUUGUGCCCAGAUGCGCCCUGCUUUGUUAUUUUACUCUGUCUAACGCCAGACGAUUUUACUCAUCAAGGGGAGAGUGCUGGCGCUUAAUGGGUUAAACACAAAAGUGUGAAUUUUCUUUGGUUGCCUAUGAUCCCCCCUUUGCAUUUGACCCAAAGUUUUUGAAACAAGUUUUUCUAAGUCGAAGGUGAUUGUUUUGAUGAGAGAAAGAAAGUUUUGUGAGUUGGGGGAUCUUUAGGAAUUUUUAAAAAAAUUCCUGUGGUACUCCCAUUUUUAAAAACAAAAAUAUGAAUUUUUCUGUUGCAUCCUUCGUCUGGUAUCAGUUAGAUAAGAUAUGUUGUCAGUUGAUAUGUGCAAAUAACUAGAUUAAUAUCUUUCAUUGUUUAGAUAUUUUGUUCCAAGAGAAUUUGGAUCAGUGAGCAGUCCUCAAUGUUGAACCGGAUUACUUGACAGGAAAAGAAAGAUUAUUUUAUACCAAACAGAAUCAUCUACAGUCGCUGUCUUGAAUCAUUUAAAUAAGGUUAGUUUAUAAAACGCCUUCCAGGCAAUGUGGCAUGAAAAUUUUAAAUUCUGAAUAUGUUAUCCCUUGGGGAAUUCAUCCAAUCUAAGCCAAUAAAUGCAAAGCCCUAUGUCAGUGAGCAUUUUUUAUCAGUUGAAAGUAAUUGUUUGGAUGAGAGAAAUAAAUGCUUAUCGACAAUUUUCAGAAAGUUUGGAAUAAUAGUUCCGGGCCUUUUUUAUUUAAAAAAUUCCUGUGCUCUCCCUUUGUUGAGCACAGAUUGCCACUUGCCUGUGGUUGCCCGCUUUGCAAAAUGUUUUAAAACGUGUUUUUAUCAAUUGAAAGUGAUUGUUUUGAUGAGAAAAUGUGUCUCAAUGUUUACUUUUUGUCCAUUUUGACGUAAAGCAACAAAAAACAACAAAAAAGCAAGGCUAUUUUGAUUGACAAUUUUUCAUCGCUAGCUUUUGAAAAAAAAAGAAAGAAAUUAAAGAAAUCACUUCAACAGAAGAACAAAGUGAUUUAAAACGAAAAACUAAAAAAAAAAAAGAAAUUGAAGAAAUCACUUCAACGGAAGAACGAACUUUAAAACGAACAACUACAGUGCUUGAAACAGAUAAGACGACUUUUUCAUAACUGGGCAGAAAACAGCAAAUAAGUAAGGUUAUUUAUUGCCUUACGUUUUCGUCGAUUUUAACGACUUUUUUUCGUAAAGGGACAAAAACAGCAAAAAAGCAAUUAAAAAGGACAAACAACAGCAAAAAGCAAUUUUUACGACAUUUUUCAUUUUCCGUAAAGAGACAAAAAGGAGAAAAAAGGUAAGGCUAUACCCUUUACUUUUCGUCCAUUUUUGGCGACUUUUUUCAUUUUUCAUAAGUGGGCAAAAAACAGCAAAAAAGCAAGGCUAUAUUUCCAUUUUUCAUAAGUGGCCAAAAAACAGGAAAAAAACAGCAAAAAAGUAAGAAACAUGAAAAACGGCAAAAAAGUAAGGCUAUAUUUCCAUUUUGAAAAACAUGGACCUGAAAAACAUUUCAAACGUGAAAAACGGCAAAAAAGUAAGGCUAUAUUUCCAUUUUUCACAAGUGGUCGAAAAACAGCAAAAAAGUAAGGCUAUAUAGCCUUAACUUUUCGUCCAUUUUUAGCGAUUUUUUUCAUUUUUUAUAAGUGGCCAAAAAACAGCAAAAAAGUAAGGCUAUACCCUUAACUUUUCGUCCAUUUUUAGCGACUUUUCCCAUUCUUCGUAAGUGGCCAAAAAACAGCAAAAAAGUAAGGCUGUAGCCUUCGUCCAUUUUUAGCGACUUUUUUUAUUUUUCAUAAGUGGCCAAAAAACAGCAAAAAAGUAAGGCUAUAGGCUUAACUUUUCGUCCAUUUUUAGCGACUUUUCCCAUUCUUCGUAAGUGGCCAAAAAAACAGCAAAAAAGUAAGGCUAUAGGCUUAACUUUUCAUCCAUUUUUAGCGACUUUUUCCAUUUUUCAUAAGUGGCCAAAAUACAGCAAAAAAGU
rnacentral:lncRNA from 1 species